AUUGAACGCUGGCGGCAGGCCUAACACAUGCAAGUCGAGCGGAGCGGCGGACGGGUGAGUAAUGCCUAGGAAUCUGCCUGGUAGUGGGGGAUAACGUCCGGAAACGGGCCCUAAUCCCCCAUACUAUCUGUGAAGCUUAGGCCGGAUUAGCUAGUUGGUGGGGUAAGGGCCUACAUAGGCGACGAUCCGGAACUGGUCUGAGAGGAUGAUCAGUCACACGGGAACUGAGAAACGGUCCAGACUCCUACGGGAGGCAGCAGUGGGGAAUAUGGGAAAAUGGGCGAAAGCCUGAUCCAGCCAUGCAGCGUGUGUGAAGAAGGUCUUAGGAUUGUAAAGCACUUUAAGUUGGGAGGCGUUACCAACAGAAUAAGCACCGGCUAACUUCGGGCCAGCCGCCGCGGUAAUUC
rnacentral:rRNA from 1 species